CAGCACAGACAUCAUGAGGCCAAGAAAGGGGGUGGAAUACCCGGUGGACUGAGUGAGCUUUCUCCUGUGUCUCAAGAUGCAAGCUCCCAGCUACUGCUUCAGCGCCGUGCCUGUCUGUCUGCUGCCACGCUUCCUGCCAGGAUGGCCAUGGACUCUCACUCUCUGAAACUAGACCUGACUGCAUAGGAACACCAACAGGACCCCAAGAAGCCGGGAGAGGAUAACCCCUAG